rnacentral:rRNA from 1 species
ACACUUUACAAUGCGGGAAACCGCGAUAAGGGAACCCCGAGUGCCAGCAUCAAAUGUUGGCUGUCCAGAUGAUUAAAAAUCAUUUGUUAGCAAGGGCCGGGCAAGACCGGUGCCAGCCGCCGCGGUAACACCGGCGGCCCGAGUGGUAGCCGUUUUUAUUGGGUCUAAAGGGUCCGUAGCCGGCCUGAUAAGUCCUUUGGGAAAUCUGGCAGCUUAACUGUCAGGCUUCUAAGGGAUACUGUCAGGCUUGGGACCGGAAGAGGUAAGGGGUACUCCAGGGGUAGGAGUGAAAUCUUGUAAUCCCUGGGGGACCAUCUGUGGCGAAGGCGCCUUACCAGAACGGGUCCGACGGUGAGGGACGAAAGCUAGGGGAGCAAACCGGAUUAGAUACCCGGGUAGUCCUAGCUGUAAACGAUGCUCGCUAGGUGUCAGACACGGUGCGACCGUGUUUGGUGCCGCAGGAAGCCGUUAAGCGAGCCACCUGGAAGUACGUCGCAAGGC